GUGGGGAAUAUUGGACAAUGGGGGGAACCCUGAUCCAGCCAUGCCGCGUGUGUGAAGAAGGCCUUUUGGUUGUAAAGCACUUUAAGCGAGGAGGAGGCUACCGAGAUUAAUACUCUUGGAUAGUGGACGUUACUCGCAGAAUAAGCACCGGCUAACUCUGUGCCAGCAGCCGCGGUAAUACAGAGGGUGCAAGCGUUAAUCGGAUUUACUGGGCGUAACGCGCGCGUAGGUGGCCAUUUAAGUCAAAUGUGAAAUCCCCGAGCUUAACUUGGGAAUUGCAUUCGAUACUGGUUGGCUAGAGUAUGGGAGAGGAUGGUAGAAUUCCAGGUGUAGCGGUGAAAUGCGUAGAUAUCUGGAGGAAUACCGAUGGCGAAGGCAGCCAUCUGGCCUAAUACUGACACUGAGGUGCGAAAGCAUGGGGAGCAAACAGGAUUAGAAACCCCUGUAGUCC
rnacentral:rRNA from 1 species